rnacentral:rRNA from 1 species
UACGUAGGCAGCAAGCGUUGUUCGGAAUUACUGGGCGUAAAGAGUGCGUAGGCGGUUGACUAAGUUUGGUGUGAAAUCUCCCGGCUUAACUGGGAGGGUGCGCCGAAAACUGGCCAGCUAGAGUGUGGGAGAGGAUAGUGGAAUUCCUGGUGUAGCGGUGAAAUGCGUAGAUAUCAGGAGGAACACCUGCGGUGUAGACGGCUAUCUGGACCAUGACUGACGCUGAGGCACGAAAGCGUGGGUAGCAAACAGG